UUACAUAUAUCAAGAAUGACUGGCACUUACUUCUUUUCCCAGUACGACCUCGAUCUGUGAAAUCGUCUUACGCCAUAUGUACUGAGAUUGAUCGGGAGACCCAUUCCUCUCGUAGUAAA
rnacentral:rRNA from 1 species